UACUUAACCCUUCUGCUAUGUUUGGGUCAAUUUGACCCAAUUUUCAGUAAAACUCGUCGAAAUUCGCGUGUUAGUCUAGUCGUAUUGUAUGGAUUCUUCUUCUAUUUGUUAACUGCAGUAAAAGGAAUAGAUAAAUAUGAAAAUUAAAAUAAUAUCUGUUUUUUAUGUUGCUGGAGGAUGCCAAAUGUAAUUUCAUUACACUUAUUACGUUGUUGGGUCAAUUUGACCCACCUAGUAUUUUGAAACAUUUUGCCGUUUAUUAUUACAUCACUCGAUCAAAAACGCCGACAAAGAAAGCUAGUUAUCGGAAAGCGAGUAUAUUUUGCGCAGCUCUAUGUUUAUAUAUUCUCGAUAAAUUUAUAGCCUUUUCGAAAAAGGGGAACUCCCGUUUUAUGCACCUGUGAACAGAGUAAGUGUCGAUUGUUUGCUUAGUUAGUAAUGGCAGACCUAUUUUUCGGGCCACAAUGAGCUUGGAAAGACAGGGAUGAGAGAAGACAGCGUGAUAAAUUAGCACCUAUAAGAAACAUUUGGGAUCAAUGGAAUCGACAGCUCAGCUUCAGGCAGUACAUUCCAUCGAAGCCCGCAAAAUACGGCUUAAAAAUAUGGGCUCUAUGUGAUUCAAAAAGCAAGUAUGCCUGGAACAUGGAAGUUUAUUUAGAACGGGCAAGAAAUACGCAACCGGAAAGGAACCAAGGUGAACGUGUUGUUCUAUCCCUAUCAGAACCCCUUCCCAGAGGUCACACUAUUACUUGCGAUAACUUUUUUACGACGUAAAAUCUCGCCGUUCAGCUACUUCGCAGGAACAUUACUUUAGUCGGUACAGUGAGGAAAAAUAAGCUUUUUUUGCCACGAGAAAUUGUCGACAUGAAGGAAAAGAACAUUUUAGAAAGCAAAUUUUUAUUUACGGAGAAUGUAACUAUUGUAUCGUACGUCUCAAAAAAAUACAAAAUUGUUGUAGCAUUGAGCUCCCUUCACCAUUCUCCACUUGUUGAUGAGGGUGACAGAAAAAAACCUGAAAUAAUACCUGACUAUAAUAAAACAAAAGCUGGUGUGGAUGCGCUUGAUAAGCUGGUUGCUAACUAUACAUGUAAACGUCAGACCAAACGUUGGCCAGUUGCCCUCUUUUCGAAUAUGUUAGAUUUAUCGGCAUAUAACGGAUACGUAAUAUGGACAGAGAUAAAUCCCUCAUGGAACACCAACAAGCUUUAUAAGCGAAGACUUUUUCUUGAAGAGCUGGGAAAGCAAAUGGUCGAACCAAAUAUUGUCCGCAGAGAGAGACUGCCGCGAGGAAUCGCUGCUAAGAAUAUAGUAAAAAAUAUUCAAGAAAACUCCAAAUCUGCAGAAGAAGCGUCUACUUCUAAUAUUUCUGCCAGAAAUGAAUACACCAAAAAACGACAGCGAUGUUUCUUCUGUCAUCAAAAUCAAAAAAUUUG